CUUGUGGAUUUUUAUGUAUGGAUCUCAGGAACAAAUGCUUUUGUAUUCACAGGUCAGCCUCCAAAACAUAAAGGAAAACAAAAAUCCCGAAAUAAUGAAUCAGAGAAAUUCAGUUCUAGUUCACAGUUGACUUUACCAGUUGAUUUGAAAAACAUCUUGGAGAAACAGUUUUCUAAAUCUUCCAGAGCUGCACACCAGGAUUUUGCUAAUAUAAUGAAAAUGCUAAGAAGCUUAAUUCAAGAUGGUUACACAGCCUUAUUGGAGCAGCGUUGCUGA
rnacentral:lncRNA from 1 species